AUUUUUAUAGUGUAAAAAACAUAUUGUUUUUUCAAAACAAAGAUACUUAAGUUAAGAAUA
rnacentral:tRNA from 1 species